rnacentral:lncRNA from 1 species
GCCGUCUUCGGCAAGAAGAUGGCCUUGAGAGAUGUUAGGGGUUGACUGCUCCCAUCUCGUCAUCUUUCAUCUUUCAUCUCCCAUCUCGUCAUCUUUCAUCUUUCAUCUCCCAUCUCCUGUCUCCCAUCUCCCAUCUCAUCAUCUCCAUCUCCGGCGCCAUUCAUCUUCUCGCGGGUGGAUGGCUGGAUGCGGCAGAGAUGGAUGGCAGGGGUCCAGGGCCCAAAAUAAGGGGAGGGCCUAAAGUGAGGGCUUUGGUGGCUUUUCCCUUAAGCCGGCCCUGUUAAAUUGUCCUGAACUUCCUUGACCUUCUACGGACUAAGAUUCUCCCACAGCUGAA